CCUACGGGAGGCAGCAGUGAGGAAUAUUGGUCAAUGGACGCAAGUCUGAACCAGCCAUGCCGCGUGCAGGAAGACGGCUCUAUGAGUUGUAAACUGCUUUUGUACUAGGGUAAACUCAGAUACGUGUAUCUGACUGAAAGUAUAGUACGAAUAAGGAUCGGCUAACUCCGUGCCAGCAGCCGCGGUAAUACGGAGGAUCCAAGCGUUAUCCGGAUUUAUUGGGUUUAAAGGGUGCGUAGGCGGUCUGAUAAGUUAGAGGUGAAAUGUUAGGGCUUAACCCUGAAACUGCCUCUAAUACUGUUGGGCUAGAGAGUAGUUGCGGUAGGCGGAAUGUAUGGUGUAGCGGUGAAAUGCUUAGAGAUCAUACAGAACACCGAUUGCGAAGGCAGCUUACCAAACUAUAUCUGACGUUGAGGCACGAAAG
rnacentral:rRNA from 1 species